GCGCCUGCGGCGGCGGCUGCUGCUGCUGCUGUUGCUGCUGGAACGACUUGAGCGACUCGAAAGCCUUCAUCAGUUUUUCCAGGGUUGCCAUGACGGCCUCCUGCCCGACAGGACAGACCCUGAAGGCUUGGAGCCUAUUCGCACUACGCAGCGCCACUUAGCAGCAAGGUAAUGAAUGGGGCUCUACGAGGUAGACCGAAGCGGAACCAAAGCUCCCAGCCAUCUUGGGCCCGUCCCGGCAACCCUCGCGGCGAGUGCGUCCCGUGACGUCAUGCCGGCGGAGGCGAGGCCACGCCAGACCUGCAGAAUUGACAAGCGGAUGCGUCGUCCUCUUUCUCAACGUUUGGUCGUGGGCGUGCCCUGCCUCUGCUAGUUUAUUAAGACUCUCCGCCCCGCCGAUGAGGCCCCGCCCCUUCCCGGCCGAAGAAAGCUCCUCUGAGUGAAAAAGCCAAGCAAGAGGAUCGGUGGGCGAGGCAGGCUGCCAGAUGAGGGGCGGAGCUGAGCCGAGAGUGAGCGCGGCAACGGCGACAGAAAAGUGGUUUUUCAAGACAGGUUGUUUUUGCAUGACCCAGACGGUCCUGGAACACUCUGUAGACCAGAAUGGCGGAGAGAGAUCUACCUGCUUUUGAAUCUCAAAUACUGGGAUUAAAGGCUGUGCCAUCAUUGGCUGCAUUUGAUUUUCUUAAUAAAUUCCAAAUUGAAAACA